UACGUAGGGGGCAAGCGUUGUCCGGAAUCAUUGGGCGUAAAGAGCGUGUAGGCGGCCCGGUAAGUCCGCCGUGAAAGUCCAGGGCUCAACCCUGGAAUGCCGGUGGAAACUGCCGGGCUGGAGUCCGGAAGAGGAGAGUGGAAUUCCUGGUGUAGCGGUGAAAUGCGCAGAUAUCAGGAAGAACACCUAUGGCGAAGGCAGCUCUCUGGGACGGUACUGACGCUGAGACGCGAAAGCGUGGGGAGCGAACAGG
rnacentral:rRNA from 1 species